CCAGCUCCAAUAGCGUAUAUUAAAGUUGUUGCAGUUAAAAAGCUCGUAGUUGGACUUUAGGCAAGGCAACCUGGUCACCCUUUGGGUGUACUGGAUUUGCUGCGCCUCACCUUCGGGGAGCUAGUUGUGCUUCGGUGCACUAGGGAACCGAGCCUUACCUUGAGGAAAUUAGAGUGUUUAAAGCAGGCUUAUGCUUGAAUACGUUUGCAUGGAAUAACAUGAUAGGACUUUGGUUCUAUUUUGUUGGUUUGAGGACCAAAGUAAUGAUUAAUAGGGACAGUUGGGGGCAUUAGUAUUCAAUAGUCAGAGGUGAAAUUCUUGGAUUUAUUGAAGACUAACUAAUGCGAAAGCAUUUGCCAAGGAUGUUUUCA
rnacentral:rRNA from 1 species